rnacentral:rRNA from 1 species
UACGUAGGGUGCAAGCGUUGUCCGGAAUUAUUGGGCGUAAAGAGCGUGUAGGCGGUUCAGUAAGUCUGCUGUGAAAGUCCAGGGCUCAACCCUGGGAUGCCGGUGGAUACUGCUGGGCUAGAGUACGGAAGAGGCGAGUGGAAUUCCCGGUGUAGCGGUGAAAUGCGUAGAUAUCCGGAGGAACACCGGUGGCGAAGGCGGCUUCCUGGACCGACACUGACGCUGAGGCGCCGAAAGCUAGGGGAGCAAACGGG